AUUGAACGCUGGCGGCAUGCUUUACACAUGCAAGUCGAACGGCAGCGCGGGCUUCGGCCUGGCGGCGAGUGGCGAACGGGUGAGUAAUGCAUCUGAACGUGCCCAGUAGUGGGGGAUAGCCCGGCGAAAGCCGGAUUAAUACCGCAUACGACCUGAUGGUGAAACCGGGGGACCGAAAGGCCUCGCGCUAUUUGAGCGGCCGAUGUCGGAUUAGCUAGUUGGUGGGGUAAAGGCUUACCAAGGCGACGAUCCGUAGCUGGUCUGUGAGGACGACCAGCCACACUGGGACUGAGACACGGCCCAGACUCCUACGGGAGGCAGCAGUGGGGAAUUUUGGACAAUGGGGGCAACCCUGAUCCAGCCAUGCCGCGUGCGGGAAGAAGGCCUUCGGGUUGUAAACCGCUUUUGUUCGGGAAGAAAUCCUCUGGGCUAAUACCCCGGGGGGAUGACGGUACCGGAAGAAUAAGCACCGGCUAACUACGUG
rnacentral:rRNA from 1 species